CUCCGUACUACCAUCCUCUUAAAAUGUCUUUCCUUUCACCUUCGCUUGGUUUUUUUUUUUUUUUUCAUUUCUCUACAUAGUGCCCAGCCUUUUUGGUUCUUGUGAUCUUGGGUCCAUGUGGGUCCAUCUAAAAUAUCCAUGAACAUGAAAGUUGGCAACAAAGAAAGAAAAAGGCGUCGUUUCUAUAUUGAAAUGGUUACUGCGAUGUUGGCCCGGUUCACUCAGACGACGCUUCUGGCAUGAAAGAAAAGGUGUCUUUUGAUUGAGCCGUGCCAAUAUCAUAGUGUGAGUCGAGGAGUACUAUCCACCGCCCGACCUGAAGAUAUGUACAGUAGUCCUGGAUAUUCUGUUUGUACAGGUGGGGCCCACUAUCAAUCAUCUAAACCGCUUGUAUUAUGGACCCACCAUGGAUGUCCCAUGUGAUCAUACCCAUAUAUCCUUUUAUCUUUUUCAGAUUGACUGUGGACCGUUAUGUAAUAUUUCAUUCUCAACUGUCCAUUUUAUGGCAGCCAAUGCAAAAUUAGAAAUUAUUUCCA